rnacentral:rRNA from 1 species
UACGGAGGGUGCAAACGUUGCUCGGAAUCAUUGGGCGUAAAGCGCACGUAGGUGGCCUGUUAAGUCGGGUGUGAAAUCCCUGGGCUCAACCCAGGAAGUGCACUCGAAACUGGCAGGCUUGAGUACUGAAGAGGGUCGCGGAAUUCCCGGUGUAGAGGUGAAAUUCGUAGAUAUCGGGAGGAACACCAGUGGCGAAGGCAGCCCCCUGGGUUAACACUGACGCUCAUGCACGAAAGCGUGGGGAGCAAACAGG